CGCGGCCUAUCAGCUUGUUGGUGAGGUAAUGGCUCACCAAGGCAUCGACGGGUAGCUGGUCUGAGAGGAUGAUCAGCCACACUGGAACUGAGACACGGUCCAGACUCCUACGGGAGGCAGCAGUGGGGAAUAUUGCACAAUGGGCGCAAGCCUGAUGCAGCGAUGCUGCGUGCGGGAAGAAGGCCCUAGGGUUGUAAACCGCUUUCAGCAGGGAAGAAAAUGACGGUACCUGCAGAAGAAGGUGCGGCCAACUACGUGCCAGCAGCCGCGGUGACACGUAGGCACCAAGCGUUGUCCGGAUUUAUUGGGCGUAAAGAGCUCGUAGGCGGUUCAGUAAGUCGGGUGUGAAAACUCUGGGCUCAACCCAGAGACGCCACCCGAUACUGCUGUGACUUGAGUACGGUAGGGGAGCGGGGAAUUCCUGGUGUAGCGGUGAAAUGCGCAGAUAUCAGGAGGAACACCAGUGGCGAAGGCGCCGCUCUGGGCCGAAACUGACGCUGAGGAGCGAAAGCAUGGGUAGCAAACAGGAUUAGAUACCCUGGUAGUCCAUGCCGUAAACGUUGGGCACUAGGUGUGGGUCUCAACCAACGAGAUCCGCGCCGUCGCUAACGCAUUAAGUGCCCCGCCUGGGGAGUACGG
rnacentral:rRNA from 1 species